rnacentral:rRNA from 1 species
UACGAAGGGGGCUAGCGUUGUUCGGAAUUACUGGGCGUAAAGCGCACGUAGGCGGAUGUGUCAGUCAGGGGUGAAAUCCCGGGGCUCAACCUCGGAACUGCCUCUGAUACAGCACAUCUUGAGUCCGGAAGAGGUGAGUGGAACUCCUAGUGUAGAGGUGGAAUUCGUAGAUAUUAGGAGGAACACCAGUGGCGAAGGCGACUACCUGCCUGUUCUUGACGCUGAGGCGCGAAAGCUAGGGGAGCAAACGGG